rnacentral:rRNA from 1 species
AUUGAACGCUGGCGGAAUGCUUUACACAUGCAAGUCGAACGGCAGCACGGGGGCAACCCUGGUGGCGAGUGGCGAACGGGUGAGUAAUGUAUCGGAACGUACCCCGUCGUGGGGGAUAACUCUCCGAAAGGAGAGCUAAUACCGCAUACGACCUGAGGGUGAAAGCGGGGGACCUGCAAGGGCCUCGCGCGAUGGGAGCGGCCGAUAUCGGAUUAGCUAGUUGGUGAGGUAAAGGCUCACCAAGGCGACGAUCCGUAGCGGGUCUGAGAGGACGACCCGCCACACUGGAACUGAGACACGGUCCAGACUCCUACGGGAGGCAGCAGUGGGGAAUUUUGGACAAUGGGGGAAACCCUGAUCCAGCCAUUCCGCGUGAGUGAAGAAGGCCUUCGGGUUGUAAAGCUCUUUCAGCAGGAACGAAACGGUAGGCUUUAAUACAGUUUGCUAAUGACGGUACCUGCAGAAGAAGCACCGGCUAACUACGUGCCAGCAGCCGCGGUAAUACGUAGGGUGCGAGCGUUAAUCGGAAUUACUGGGCGUAAAGCGUGCGCAGGCGGCGACAUAAGACAGAUGUGAAAUCCCCGGGCUCAACNNNGGGAACUGCGUUCGUGACUGUGUUGCUAGAGUGUAGCAGAGGGGGGUGGAAUUCCACGUGUAGCAGUGAAAUGCGUAGAGAUGUGGAGGAACACCGAUGGCGAAGGCAGCCCCCUGGGUUAACACUGACGCUCAUGCACGAAAGCGUGGGGAGCAAACAGGAUUAGAUACCCUGGUAGUCCACGCCCUAAACGAUGCCAACUAGGUGUUGGGGGAGGAGACUUCCUUAGUACCGUAGCUAACGCGUGAAGUUGGCCGCCUGGGGAGUACGGUCGCAAGAUUAAAACUCAAAGGAAUUGACGGGGACCCGCACAAGCGGUGGAUGAUGUGGAUUAAUUCGAUGCAACGCGAAAAACCUUACCUACCCUUGACAUGUCCGGAAUCCUGAAGAGAUUUGGGAGUGCUCGAAAGAGAACCGGAACACAGGUGCUGCAUGGCUGUCGUCAGCUCGUGUCGUGAGAUGUUGGGUUAAGUCCCGCAACGAGCGCAACCCUUAUCAUUAGUUGCCAUCAUUUAGUUGGGCACUCUAAUGAGACUGCCGGUGACAAACCGGAGGAAGGUGGGGAUGACGUCAAGUCCUCAUGGCCCUUAUGGGUAGGGCUUCACACGUCAUACAAUGGUCGGUACAGAGGGUUGCCAACCCGCGAGGGGGAGCUAAUCUCACAAAGCCGAUCGUAGUCCGGAUCGCAGUCUGCAACUCGACUGCGUGAAGUCGGAAUCGCUAGUAAUCGUGGAUCAGCAUGUCACGGUGAAUACGUUCCCGGGUCU